GCAUAAAGAUGUUACCUCAGCGCAGACUGAAAGCGGUAGCAGAGACUGCUUUUCCAUGUCUAAACGAGAAUGUCGAGCAAGAUGUCCGACAGUCGACAGGAACAGAUAUAUAGUCAACGUAUGCCAGUAAGGAAUAGCACCAGCAUCAGCAUCAACAUCAGAAUCAGCAGAAGAGUUGGCUGGCUGGUUUGGAUCUGUCAUGUCUUAGAAAUCACGAGAUUGCCAGGGCAAACGUCCAAGCAUCAACGCUCGCAACAGAGUUUACUGGCAAAGUGUUCCGAUAAUUCUUACCCGUCGGCAUGAAUUCAUUACUGUCUGCGUUUAAGUUACGCGCAGAGUUGCCGAGUCUUCAAGUGACUUUGUCGAUCACCGCCACUGAAUUUACAUUCUUGAAUUCCAUCAGAUUGACUGACGUGCAUCUGAACACUUAUUUACGUUGGUGAAAAGUCUCGGAAGUUAAAAAUCAUCGUUUUUUUUAUCAACUCGAGUGAGUCAAAAAAAUUAGAACGAACACGAGAGAGGAAAUAAAAACAAAGAGCGAAGAAUAAGUUUGUGGCAGCGGAAAAGGGAAUAAAUGAAGAGAGUCAAGGAUGUGUGAGUAUGAAAAAUAGUCAGUGUAUAAAAUGUAUGUGUAGUAGCAGAUUUAAACUACGCCACGAGCUGCAUCACGGUGGUGCCAGAAUGCAUCUGUCGCGUAUUAUUAUUAUUCCACGGGAGCCUUAGAUCAACAGCACUAACUAGGGGAAUCCCUCAGCUCUCUUGCUCUCGGAAUUUCUUUUGAUGCCGUUAAUAGAAUUUUCAUAUGUACCACUUGUGCACCAUCGUCAACUUAUCACUUUUUAACAUUACUAUUGUUAUUAUUAUUAAAAUAAUUUUUUAUCCAUCUUGUCUCUAAGCUCCACACUUGCGUCAUGAGUAAUAUUAUUCACUGAAAUUUGUUUACCUUGGGAUUAUCACGUGUUGAAUGUAAAAAAGGAUUACGCGUAUAUAGUUUUAGAUUUUGUUUUCCAAGCGAUAAUUACCAUACAGCUGUUCAUUUUGUCUUCUCAAUAUUUUAAUAACCUGUUCGUACACUCACUUGUACAAUUUAACUGCUCUUGUUAUUUUUUUAAAUGCUGAGAAAAAAUUACUCGACACGUGUAAAAUAUUACGUUCUUUAGACUGAGGCGCGACGGGAUAUCUAAGCGAGUAAUUAAUUCUUUUGCCUUUUCGACGCCGAAUACAAUUAAUUUAUAUUUAUUUUCAAUAAAUCUUUCAUUAUUAGGGGAAGGGUGGGGGCAAAACGGGAUACUUAACGAAAAAUUUAGUUUUUAGGGACAUAAAUAUCGUAAAUUGGCUUCAUUUUGAUUCUAUUUGAAAUAAAUAUAACGAAUGUUAGACUGCCAUCAGAAAAAAAAUUUUUAUUUUCUGCGGGCAAAAUGGGAUACCCCAAAAAAAGUAAUUUUUUUUUUUUUUUUUUUUCAAGUGAAUAAAAUUGAUGUAAUAAUGUCUUUCUAAAUUGAUGUAAGUAAUAAAAUUUACUCUCAACAUAUUUUUAAAGAAGUUUUUCCUUGUUAUUUCUUUUCAAAAUUUGGAAUUGGCGCCAAUAUUAUACUUUUCACAAAAAAUAUAAAAAUGUUUUUUUUUAGCUUUUAAUAGUGUAAAAUGAUACUAGAUGUCAUUUUUGACCAUUUUCGAAAGUUUUUCGAGAAAAAAAAAUUUUGACGAAAUUUUGAGGGUAUCCCAUUUUGCCGGCCUAUCCCGUUUUGCCCCCCCCUUCCCCUACAUCAAAUUUUUUUUCUUCACCAAAUUUUUUAAGUAGACUAUUUCACCCCAGUGCUUUGCAUGCCUUCAUACUUCAGAGUCUUCGUAAACUUUAUAAAAAUCCACGACGAAAAAAAAAAAUUCAACAUUUUUCGGGCAUCCCGUCGUGCCCCUCGCAUAUAAAUUUUUUCAAUACAUGCUCGCUAGUUUUUUGAGUUGAAAAAUUGACUAUAAAUAGCUUGGGUACUAUUUCAGAAGGUUGAGAGGCCAAGACAUUUGUAAAGAGCUAAAGAAACACAUAUAUUUUAGUAACUGAAGUCUUGAAUAAAGUACACAGUAGUAAGUUACUCAGGUUAUUGAUGCGAUAAGAAUGUAGUAAGAGGUGUGUUAAGUGAGUUCUAAUGCUCUGAAUAAAUUUAUCAAUGGGAAUAAAUAAAUCGGUAUUUGUAACAGCUUGUCGGGUGGAGAAUACUAUUGUAGCAUAAAGAAUAAGCAACAUUUGGUGCCGACUAUUGUAUGUAUAAAUGUGUGUAGAAGCUAAAGUACAAGAACAAGUACAAGUGCGAAAGUUAAAUCCGCGGAUUAAAUAUCGAUCACGAUACUAUUCUUUCUCAGUAGAAUAUUUAUGUACAUAUCAGAGUAAAGCUGAAUUUACGGUGUAGUAGGUGUAUUGCGUAAUUUUGAAACCACGAGUAUCGGAGUUGUUAUUGUAUGAAUUUAUACGUAUUUAUUAUAGCGCGCAAUAAAUAAACGAAUGCGCAAAACCUAAAAUUAUUAAAUGUAUUAUAUCGAUUCCGCAUUGUAUUGCUAAGCCGCGAAACCGCUUUGCUUGCCAAAGCACAAAAUUUACACUAGAUUUCAACGGAUGCGUCACCCAAGCGCACGAUCCGUUAUUUAAUUAGUCGUUUCAUAAAACAGUCACGUCUACUUGGAGUCCAUUAAAAAUCGUGGCACAAAAAAAGGAGACAAAAAAAAAAUAAAAUAAAAAAAUGUUUAUUCAAAUUAAUUUAAUAUCUACUGGUGGCUCCUGUCAGCUGGUUUUAAACUCCGCAUUCCUCUUCAUCUGUCUCAUGGAAACUCGACUGAUGGAACUGACUAGUUUUUCGUCCGUGGCUUCUUCUUUGUGACUGCGAGACCGUAAAAAAAACUACCCGGGCUCAUUAAACAAUCAGCGGCCUAAGCAAACAGUUGAAAAAAUUUUAAGGAAAAACAAGCCGUAGUCGAGUCUUAAAAAGGCCACUUGGGCCCACACACUGUCAUCUUACCAUUUUGUCCUGAUAUAGGGACCCACGGAGUCUUAUUUCAAGUUCUGUUGAUAUGAGAUGAGUUGAGUUAAUUUUUGUAU